rnacentral:rRNA from 1 species
UACGAACCGUCCAAACGUUACUCGGAAUCACUGGGCUUAAAGGGUGCGUAGGCUGCGCGGAGGGUGGGAUGUGAAAUCCCCCGGCUCAACCGGGGAAUAGCGUCCCAAACCGCCGUGCUCGAGGGAGACAGAGGUGAGCGGAACUGAUGGUGGAGCGGUGAAAUGCGUUGAUAUCAUCAGGAACACCAGUGGCGAAGGCGGCUCACUGGGUCUUUCCUAACGCUGAGGCACGAAAGCUAGGGGAGCGAACGGG